AGUAACGCGUGAGGGAACCUGCCUUUCAGUGGGGGACAACAGUUGGAAACGACUGCUAAUACCGCAUGAUACUUUUUGGAGGCAUCUCUGAAAAGUCAAAGCUUUAUGUGCUGAAAGAUGGUCUCGCGUCUGAUUAGAUAGUAGGCGGGGUAACGGCCCACCUAGUCUUCGAUGGAUAGGGGUUCUGAGAGGAAGGUCCCCCACAUUGGAACUGAGACACGGUCCAAACUCCUACGGGAGGCAGCAGUGAGGAAUAUUGGUCAAUGGACGAGAGUCUGAACCAGCCAAGUAGCGUGAAGGAUGAAGGUUCUAUGGAUUGUAAACUUCUUUUAUACGGGAAUAAACGGAUCCACGUGUGGAUUUUUGCAUGUACCGUAUGAAUAAGGAUCGGCUAACUCCGUGCCAGCAGCCGCGGUAAUACGGAGGAUCCGAGCGUUAUCCGGAUUUAUUGGGUUUAAAGGGAGCGUAGAUGGGUUGUUAAGUCAGUUGUGAAAGUUUGCGGCUCAACCGUAAAAUUGCAAUUGAUACUGGCAGUCUUGAGUACAGUUGAGGUAGGCGGAAUUCGUGGUGUAGCGGUGAAAUGCUUAGAUAUCACGAAGAACUCCGAUUGCGAAGGCAGCUUACUAACCUGUAACUGACAUUGAUGCUCGAAAGUGUGGGUAUCAAACAGGAUUAGAUACCCUGGUAGUCCACACGGUAAACGAUGAAUACUCGCUGUUUGCGAUAUACAGCAAGCGGCCAAGCGAAAGCGUUAAGUAUUCCACCUGGGGAGUACGCCGGCAACGGUGAAACUCAAAGGAAUUGACGGGGGCCCGCACAAGCGGAGGAACAUGUGGUUUAAUUCGAUGAUACGCGAGGAACCUUACCCGGGCUUAAAUUGCAGAUGAAUUACGGUGAAAGCCGUAAGCCGCAAGGCAUCUGUGAAGGUGCUGCAUGGUUGUCGUCAGCUCGUGCCGUGAGGUGUCGGCUUAAGUGCCAUAACGAGCGCAACCCUUGUUGUCAGUUACUAACAGGUUCCGCUGAGGACUCUGACAAGACUGCCAUCGUAAGAUGUGAGGAAGGUGGGGAUGACGUCAAAUCAGCACGGCCCUUACGUCCAGGGCUACACACGUGUUACAAUGGGGGGUACAGAGGGCCGCUACCACGCGAGAGGAUGCCAAUCCCCAAAACCUCUCUCAGUUCGGACUGGAGUCUGCAACCCGACUCCACGAAGCUGGAUUCGAAAGUAAUCGCGCAUCAGCCACGGCGCGGUGAAU
rnacentral:rRNA from 1 species